GGGGGUGACAUGGUUUCGACAGGGAAUCAGUGUGGUAGAGAUGCAUGCCGGAGAUGCUAUCCACUCCGUCAACAAGUAGCAAACGCAAAUUAACUGCAAACGAUAACUUACUCUUAGCCGCUUAAUGCGGUUACGGUCAACCUUUCCGUGCCAUCGGGAAAGGAUUGGGCGUCAUAACAGUAUGGCUGCUCAUACGUGGAUUGCCGAUACGCGUGUGUCAAGACUUUCGGCUGGGGCUUUACGGGUCUGAUUGUCUUUGCCGUAAUGCCCGAGAUCAAAGACAACUAAGCAUGUAGAUUCUUUAUGGCGCCGUUCUUUGGACGCGGGUUCGAUCCCCGCCACCUCCACCA
rnacentral:tmRNA from 1 species